AUUAUUUUUUUGCUUGAUUUUCUGUAGCAAGGAUGAGUCGCUCUAGCAAAACUCUCUAUGUCGGUAACCUCCCCGGUGACAUUCGGGAGCGAGAAGUGGAAGAUCUUUUCUACAAGAUAAUUGUUCGUAUACUAUUCCAUAGAUUUCCGAAGGUCUAGAUUAAAUUACUGAAUAAUUUGAGAUUUUUUUGUUCUAGUAUUUCAUAUUUUUUUUCUAAAUCUUUUUUGCGUUACUUCCUUGCUAAUUCAAGUCAUUAUUAGGAUAUAUAGGAUAAAUUAGGCGAAAUCUGCUCAUAAUUUUUGGUAAUGGAUAUUCAUUGCCACACGUUGGGAAUUCUAUUUUCCUAGAUAUAUUGUAAUUUUGUAUGAGGGAUAUUAGUAUGAUAUUGAAUUUUAUAUUAUUUUAUGCAUUUA